UACGUAGGGUGCAAGCGUUUAAUCGGAAUUACUGGGCGUAAAGCGUGCGCAGGCGGUAAUGUAAGACAGGUGUGAAAUCCCCGGGCUUAACCUGGGAACUGCAUUUGUGACUGCAUUGCUGGAGUGCGGCAGAGGGGGGAUGGAAUUCCGCGUGUAGCAGUGAAAUGCGUAGAUAUGCGGAGGAACACCGAUGGCGAAGGCAAUCCCCUGGGCCUGCACUGACGCUCAUGCACGAAAGCGUGGGGAGCAAACAG
rnacentral:rRNA from 1 species